UCGCGGCUUAUCACCGGCAGUCCCCUUAGAGUGCCCAACUAAAUGAUGGCAACUAAGGGCGAGGGUUGCGCUCGUUGCGGGACUUAACCCAACAUCUCACGACACGAGCUGACGACGGCCAUGCAGCACCUGUGCUGGAGCUCCGAAGAGGGGCACCUGUUUCCAGGCGCUUUCCCCAGCACGUCAAGCCUAGGUAAGGUUCUGCGCGUUGCGUCGAAUUAAACCACAUGCUCCACCGCUUGUGCGGGCCCCCGUCAAUUCCUUUGAGUUUUAGCCUUGCGGCCGUACUCCCCAGGCGGGGUGCUUAAUGCGUUAGCUGCGGCACGGAGGGAGUCGACACCCCCCACACCUAGCACCCAUCGUUUACGGCGUGGACUAC
rnacentral:misc_RNA from 1 species